UAUUAUACAGCAUUUCUAAUUCGUGAAUUUCUAAUGAUCGCCGUGUCCUGCAUGCUGGAUCCUCUACUAUUCUAUGUUCUUUCCGAAAGCGUGCCAAUCCCUAUGUUGUGCGGAGCUGAGCAUCUUCUAUUCGCUGGGAUCAAGCUUUUCCUCUGCAGGGGCCUUGUGCAGUAA
rnacentral:rRNA from 1 species